ACGGGAGGCAGCAGUGGGGAAUAUUGCACAAUGGGCGCAAGCCUGAUGCAGCCAUGCCGCGUGUAUGAAGAAGGCCUUCGGGUUGUAAAGUACUUUCAGCAGUGAGGAAGGUGGAGUCGUUAAUAGCGGCCUCAUUUUGACGUUAGCUGCAGAAGAAGCACCGGCUAACUCCGUGCCAGCAGCCGCGGUAAUACGGAGGGUGCGAGCGUUAAUCGGAAUUACUGGGCGUAAAGCGCAUGCAGGUGGUUUGUUAAGUCAGAUGUGAAAGCCCGGGGCUCAACCUCGGAAUUGCAUUUGAAACUGGCAGACUAGAGUACUGUAGAGGGGGUAGAAUUUCAGGUGUAGCGGUGAAAUGCGUAGAGAUCUGAAGGAAUACCGGUGGCGAAGGCGGCCCCCUGGACAGAUACUGACACUCAGAUGCGAAAGCGUGGGGAGCAAACAGGAUUAGAUACCCUGGUAG
rnacentral:rRNA from 1 species